UACGGAGGGUGCAAGCGUUAUCCGGAUUCACUGGGUUUAAAGGGUGCGUAGGCGGAUUUUUAAGUCCGUGGUGAAAUCUCCGAGCUUAACUCGGAAACUGCCAUGGAUACUAUAAGUCUUGAAUGUUGUGGAGGUUUGCGGAAUAUGUCAUGUAGCGGUGAAAUGCUUAGAUAUGACAUAGAACACCGAUUGCGAAGGCAGCAGGCUACACAAAUAUUGACGCUGAGGCACGAAAGCGUGGGGAUCAAACAGG
rnacentral:rRNA from 2 species